rnacentral:lncRNA from 1 species
GUAAGCUAAAUAUUUAUAUUAAGUACAUCCUCAAUUCUAUAAAUUAAUCAAACAUGUAAUGAGUAACAAACAUUGACAUUAAAUAAAUUAGAAAGAUAUGUAUUGAACAUCAAAAUUAAUUAAAUAUAUACUUAUAUCCUUAAGAACAUAAAAUGUCAUCUUCUAUAUUCUGAUAAUUAAACAAUUAACAUAAGUUAUACAGAUUAAAAAAUAUGCUAAAAUACUAAUUAUAAGUAGAAAAUGAAAAAGAAAAAAAGAAAAAAGAAUAAUUACAAGAAAAUGAAAAAGAAAAAAAGAAAAUAGAAUAAUUACAAGAAAAUGAAAAUGAGACCGUAUGUUAUAAAGGAAACCAACUCAAUCAUUUUUCCAGUGUUACAUUAGCACCACCUUUAUUAUUGUGAGAUCCUCAUAAUCCUAACAAACAUCUCAAUCUCAUCAAAACAAUACGAAAAACCCUAUCAUAAUCAUUGGUGAUGCAAGAAUAAAAUUUAAAAUAAGAGGAAACACAGAUGAAUAGAGUGACAAAAUAAACAAGUUAGAGAUGUGUAACCUUCAAAAGAUUAACCUAUAUCAGAAAUCAAUUGUUCCGUACAUUUGAUAGAUAAGAAAGAAAAUUACUCAUAAAAGAUAGAAAAAAAAGGAAAAUAUGACAAUUUUUCAGCAGUACGUAUUUUUUUACCCUUUUUAUUUUGUUUAUACAAUCAUAAACUGAUUAUGAACCAUAGAUUUCUAUUAAGUAAUGUAAGCUAAAUAUUUAUAUUAAGUACAUCGUCAAUUCUAUAAAUCAAUCAAACAUGUAAUGAGUAACAAACAUUAACAUUUAAUAAAUUAGAAAGAUAUGUAUUGAACAUCAAAAUUAAUUAAAUAUAUACUUAUAUCCUUAAGAACAUAAAAUGUCAUCUUCUAUAUUCUGAUAAUUAAAAAAUUAACAUAAGUUACACAGAUUAAAAAAUAUGCUAAAAUACUAAUUAUAAGUAGAAAAUGAAAAAGAAAAAAGAGAAAAGAAUAAUUACAAGAAAAUGAAAAAGAAAAAAGGAAAAUAGAACAAUUAGAAGAAAAUGAAAAUGAGACUGUAUGUAUUAAAGGAAACCAACUCAAUCAUUUUUCCAGUGUUACAUUAGCACCACCUGUAUUAUUGUGAGAUCCUCAUAAUCCUAACAAACAUCUCAAUCUCAUCAAAACAAUACGAAAAACCCUAUCAUAANUUGUAACCUCAAGAGGUCAACCUAUAUCCAAGACAUCCACCGGAUUAUCUUACCAUUUGGCUGGGUAUAAGAAUUGAAAACUUACCUCAUAAAAUAGGAAAGAAAAGAAAAAUAUGUAAUUUUUCAGUCUUAGUCGAAUUGUUUUUACCCUUUUAUUUGUAUUUUUAUACCCAAUCAUAAAUGAAUACGCUGAACCAAGAGAUUUCUAUUAAAUAAUGUUAUACCCUUAAAAAAUUUCAUUAAGUAACAUCCCCAAUUUAUCCAAAUCAAUAAAAUACAAAACAUGUAUGAGUAAAACAUUGAGAUUAAAUAGGUUUAGAAGAAGAUAUGUAUUGAACAUUAAAAAUUAAUUUAAAAUAACUAUACUUAUAUCCCUUAAAGCAAUCAUAAAAUGAAAAUCUUCCUAUAUCUGAUAAUUUAAACAAUUAACAUAAUAUAACGAUUAAAAAUAUGCUAAAAUAUAAUAUAAGCUUAGGCGGCGAGUAGAAAUGAAAAAGAAAAAAGCGCAAUAAUUUACUAAAGAAAAUGAAAAAGAAAAAAGAAAUAGAGUAAUUACAAGAAAAUGAAAUAUUGUAAGACCUGAUAUUAGAAACAACUCUCCAAUCCAUUUUUAGUGUUACUUAAGCCACCACCCGUAUUAUUGUGAGAUCUCAUAAUCCUAAACAAACAUCUCAAUCUCAUCAAAACAAUAUGAAAAACCUAUUUUAAUCAAUUGUGGUGUGCUGACGCACCCGCAUAAAGAGGAUAAACUUGAAAAAGAGAAACACAGAUGAAUAAGUCGGACAAAUAAAAUAGUAGAGAUGUUGUAACCUCAAAAGAUCAAUCCUUAUCAAGGAAAGAAAUCAGUUUAUCCUUUAACAUUUGAUAGAUUAAGAAUGAAAUUAGCAUAAAACGAUAGAAAAAACAAGAAAUUAUUACAAUGUUUCCAGCAAUACGUAUUUUUUUACCCUUUGAUGAUUUUACAAUCAUGAACUGAAUAUGAAACAGAGAUUUCUAUUAAAUAAUGUAGAGGGUGGCAAUAUUUCUGGGAAUAAGUACAUCCUCUCCUGGCGAGUGAUAAACAUGAUCAAACAUGUGAUUGUAGUUGGGCAUGGAGUAACGAAUAACCUACACAUAAUUAGUUGAGGAAAGAUAGUAUGUGGGUAACAUCAAAUAUAUUAAAUACAAUCAUACUAUGUGAAUCCUUAAUACAUAAAAUGUGACUUCGAUAGUCUCUAAUAAUAUUAAUAAACAUAAGUCUACAGAUUAAAAAUAUGAAAAAACUAAUUAUAAGUAGAAAAUGAAAAAAGAAAAAAUAAAAAUCAGAAUAAUUACAACCAAUUUAAAAUGACUACCGUUAUGCGUAUAAAGGAAACCAACUCAAUACGUUUUAUCAAACAGUGUGUUACACUACCCACGUUUUUUUGUGAGAUCCUUCAUAAUCCUUAACAAAAAUUUCUCACAUCUCCAUCAAAAAAACAAUAGAAAAAACCCUAUCAUAAUCAUUGUGAUGCAAAGAAAUAAAAUUUGAAAUUAGAGGAAACACAAAUGAUAGAGUGACAAAAUAAACAGUUAGAGAUGAUAUAACCUUCAAGAUUAACCAUUAUCAGAAUCACCUUGGGGGGGGGGGAUCCGUACAUUUGGUAGAUAGAAAAAAAUUACUCAUAAUAAGAUAGAAAAAAAGGAAAAUAUUGACAAUUUUUCAGCAUUCCGUAUUUUUUUACCCUUUGUAUUUGUUUUAUAAAUCUAAACUGCUUAAACCAUAGUAUUUCUAUAAGUAAUGUAAGCUAAAUAUUUUUAUUAUUAAGUACAUCCUCAAUUCUAUAAAUUAAUCAAACAUGUAAUGAGUAACAAAACAUUGACAUUAAAUAAAUUAAGAAAGUUUGAACAUCAAAAUUAAUUAAAUAUUACUUAUAUCCUUAAGACAUAAAAUUGUCAUCAUCUAUAUUCUGAUAUUAAAAAUUGAACAUAAGUUACACAGAUUAAAAAAAAUAUUGCUAAAAUCACUAAUUUAAGUAGAAAAUAAAAGAAAAGAAAAGAAUAAUUACAAGAAAAUGAAAAAGAAAAAGGAAAAUAGAACAAUUAGAAGAAAAUGAAAAUGCGACUUUAUGUUAUAAAGGAAACAAAAUCAAUCAUUUCAAGUGUACAUUAGACCACUUGUAUUUAUUGUGAGAUCUCAUAAUCCGAACAAACAUCGCAAUCUCAUCAAAUAAUAACGAAAAAACCCUAUCUAAUCAUUGGUGACGCCAAGAAUAAAAUGGAAAAUAAAGAGGAAACACAGAUGAAAUGGGUGACAAAAUAAAAAGGUAGAAUUGUGUAACCUUCAAAAAGGAUCAACCUAUAUCAGAAAUCACUGAUCUGUAAUUUGAUACCAUAAGAAUGAAAAAUUACUCAUAAAAGAUAGCAAAGAAAAAGAAAUAUUGACAAUUUCCAGCAGUACGUAUUCUUUUUUUUUUGUACCCUUUGUAUUUUGUUUAUACAAUCAUUAAGUGAAUCUGAACAGAGACUUCUCUAUUAAUAAUGUUAAGCAAAUAUUUUAAGUUAAGUACAUCCCCAUUCUAUACAAAAUUUCAAACAUGUAAUGAGUAAAAACAUUGAGAUUAUAUAGUUUAGAAAAGAUAUGUAUUGAACAUUCAAAAUUAAUUCGAAUUAUAUAUAUCCUUAAGAACAUAAAAUGUCCCAUCUUCUUAUAUUCUGAUAAUCAAAAACAAUUAACAUAAGUUAUACUGAUUAAAAAAUAUGCUAAAAUACUAAUUUAUAAGUAGAAAAUGAAGAAGAAAAAAAAAAGCAUAAUUACAAGAAACUGAAAAAGAAAAAAAAGAAAAUAUAAUAAUUACGAAGAAAAUGAAAAUUGAGUACUGUAUGGAUUAGGAAACCAACUCAAUCAUUUUUCCAGUGUUACAUUAGCACCACCUGUAUUAUUGUGAGAUCCUCAUAAUCCUAACAAAACAUUCUCAAUCUCAUUCAAAAAGCAAUACGAAAAAACCUUUCAUAAUCAUGGUGAGCAAUAAGUAAUUGAAAUAGAGGAAACACAGAUGAUGAAUAGGGUGACAAAUAAAAAAGGUAGAGAUGUUGUAACCUUCAAAAGAUCAAACCUAUAUCAGGAAAUCAAUUACAUUUGAUAGAUAAGAAUGAACAGAUUACUCAUAAGAUUAGAAAAAAUAAAGGAAUUAUUACAAUUUCUCUGCAGUACGUUAUUUUUUUUACCCUGUAUAUUGUUUAUACAAUCAUAAAGUGAUAUGAACCAGAGAUUUCUAUUAAAAUAAUGUAAGCUAAAUAUUUCUAUAAGUUUACAUCCUCACAUUAUAUAUAUCAAUCAACAUGGUGAAUGAGUAAACAAACCUUGACAUUAAUUAGUUUAGAAAGAUAUGUAUUUAACAUCAAAAUUAAUUUAAAUAUAUACUUAUAUCCUAAGAAACAAAAAAUGUCCAUCUUCUAUAUUCUGAUAAUGAAUUAAUUAACAUAAGUUCUACAGAUUAAAAAAUAUGAUAAAAUACUAAUUAAAGUAGGAAAAUGAAAAGAAAAAUAAAUAGAUUUAAUUACAAGAAAAUGAAAGAAAAAAGAAAAUAAAUAAACAACAAAUUUUAAAAUGAGACCGUAUUGUUUAAAGGGAAACCAACUCAAUAAGUUUUCCAGUGUUACACUAGCACCCUUAUUAUUGUGAAGAUCCUGCAUAACGCUAACAAGAAAAUCUCAAUCUCAUCAAAACAAUAGAAAAACCCUAGUCAUAAUCAUUGGUCGAUGCAAAGAAUAAAAUUGAAAAUAACAGGAAACACAAUAAUAGCAAGUGACAAAAUAAAACCAAGUUAGAGAUGUAUAACCUUCAAAAAUUAAACCUAUACCAGAAAUCACUUGAUCCUUACAUUUGGGUAGAUAAGAAAGAAAUUACUCAUAAAAGAUAAAAAAAAAAAGGAAAAUUAUGACAAUUUUUCAGGCAGUACGUAUUUGUUUACCCUUUUUUAUUUUGUUAUACAAUCUAAACUGAUUAAUGAACCAUAGAUUUCUAUUAAGUAAUGUAAGCCUAAUAUUUAUAUUAAGUACAAUUCCUCAUAUUCAAUAAUUAAAUUCAAACAAUGUAAUGAGUAACAAACAUUGACAUUGAAAUAAAUUAGAAAGAUAUGGUAUUGAACACAAAAUAAAUUAAAUAUAUACUUAUACUCUUAAGAACAUUAAAAUGUCAUCUUCUUAUAUUCUGAUAAUUAAACAAUACUAACAUAGUUACACAGAUUAAAAUAUGCUAAAAUAACGAAUUAUAAGUAGGAAAUGAAAAAGAAAAAAAAAAAAAGAAUAAUUACAAGAAAAUGAAAAAGAAAAAAGGAAAAUAGAAACAAUUAGAAGAAAAUGAAAAAUGAGGCUUUAUGUAUUAAGGAAAAACCCAACUCAAUCAUUUUUCAAGUGUACAUAGCACCACUUGUAUUAUUGUGAAUCACUCAAUCCUAACAAAACAUCUCAAUCUCAUCAAAAUAAUUACGAAAAAAAACCCGAUCAUAAUUCAUUGGUGACGACAAGAAAUUAAAAUUGAAAAUAAGAGGAACACAGUGAAUAGGGUGGACAAAAUAAAAAGGGUAUUAGAUGUGUAAACCUUCAAAAGAUCAACCGAUGAUCAGAAAUUCACUUUUGAUCGUACCUUUGAUACAAAAAGAAUGAAGAUUAUCAUAAAAGAUAGAAAGAAAAAGAAAAUAUAGACAAUUUUUCAGUAUACGUAUUUUUUUUCCCUUUGUUUUUGUUAUAUUACAAUCUAAAGUGAAUCCUGAACACAGAGAUUUCUAUUAAAUAAUGUAAGCUAAAUAUUUUAUUAAAAGUUACAUCCCCAUUUCUAUAAUAACAAACAUGUAAUGAGUAAAAAACAUUGAGAUUAAAUAGUGAAAGAUAUGUAUGUGAACUCAAAAAGUUAAUUCAAUAUCAUACUUACUAUUCCUUAAGAACAUAAAAUGUCAUCUUCUAUAUUCUGAUAAUUAAAACAAUUAACAUAAGUUAUACUGAUAAAAAAAUAUGCUAAAAAUACUAAUUAUAAGUAGAAAUGAAACAGAAAAAAAAGAAUAAUUACAGGAAAUGAAAAAGAAAAAAAGAAAUAGAAUAAUUACAGAAAACUGAAAAUGAGAUGUGAUGUAUUAAAGAGAAACUCAAUCAAUUUUUCCAGUGUUACAUUGCACCACCUUGUAUUAUUGUGAGAUCCUCAUUUCCUAACAAACAUCUCAAUCUUCAUCAAAACAAUCGAAAACCUUAUCAUAAUCUUGUGACGCAGAAUAAAAUUGGAAAAUAAGGAGGAAAACACAGAUGAAUAGGGUGACAAAAUAAAAAAAGGUAGAGAUGUGUAACCUUCAAAAGAUCAACCUAUAUCAGAAUCAUUUGAUCUGACAUUUGAAGAUAAGAAUGAAUUACUCAUAAAAGAUAGGAAAAAAAUAAGGAUUAUUACAAUUUUGCCGGCAGUACGGAUUUUUUACCCCUUUGUAUAUUGUUUAUACCCAAUCAUAAGUAAAUAUGAAACCAGAGAUUUCCUAUUAUUCAAUUAGUUUACUUCAUCAUAAUAUAAUAAUAUAUUAUCUUUUCCUCAUAAUUUCUUUACUCACAAUCGAUUAUAAAUAAUGUAAGUCUAAAUAUUUCUAACAAGUACAUCCUCAAUUAUAUAUAUCAAUCAAACAUGUAAAUGUAGUAACAAUCCUUGACAUAAAAUUAGUUUAGAAAGAUAUGUAUUUAACAUUCAAAAUUAAUUAAACAUAUAGACUUAUAUCCUAGAACAGUAAAAUGUCAUCUUCUAUUUUCUAUUUUAAUUAAUAAUUAACAUAAGUUCUACAGAUUAAAAAAUUAUGUAAAAUACUAAUUAUAAGUAGAAAAUGAAAAGAAAAAAAUAAAAUAGAUUAAUUACCAGAAAUGAAAAAGAAAAAAAGAAAAUAGAAUAUAAACAACAAAUUUAAAUGAGACCGUCAUGUAUUUAUAAAGAAACCAACUCAAUAAAGGUUCCCAGUUGUUACACUAGCACGCACGUUUUUAUUGUGAGAUCCUCAUAACGCUAACAAACAUCUCAAUCUCAUCAAAAAUACGAAAAACUCCCUAUCAGUAAAUCAUUGGUGAUGCAAGAAUAUUUGAAAAUACAGGAAAACACAAAUGGAAUAGAGUGACAAAAGUAAACAAAGUUAAGGAGAUGUAUAAACCUUCAAAAGAUUUAAACCUAUACCAGAAAUCACUUGAUCCGUACAUUUGGUAGAUAAGAAAGGAAAAAUUACUCAUAAAGAUAGAAAAAAAAAAGGAAAAAUAUUUGACCAAUUUUUUUCAGCAGUACGUAUAUUUUUACCCUUUUUAUUUGUUUAUACAAUCAUAAACAUGAUUAUGAACCAUAGAUUUCUAUUAAGUAAUGUAAGCCAAUAUUUAUAUUAAGGUACAUCGUCAAUUCUAUAAAUUCAAUCGAAACAUUAAUUGAGUAACAACAUUUAACAUUUAAUAAAAUUAGAAGAUAUCUAUUGACAUCAAAAUUAAUUAAAUAUAUUUCUUAUAUCUUAAGAACAUAAAAUGUCAUCUUCUAUAUUCUGAUAUUAAAAAUUAACAUAAGUUACACAGAUUAAAAAAUAUGCUAAAAUACUAAUUAUAAGUAGAAAAUGAAAAAGAAAAAAAGAGAAAAGAAUAAUUACAAGAAAAAUUGAAAAAGAAAAAAGGAAAUGAACAGGAUUAGAAGAAAAUGAAAAUGAGACUGGUAUGUAUUAAAGGAAAACGAUCAAUCAUUUUUCCAUGUUACAUAGCACCACCUUGUAUUAUUGUAGAUCCUCAUAAUCCUAACAAAAUCUCCAAUCUCAUCAAAACAUACCAAAAACCCUAUCAUAAUCAUUGGCUGACGCAAGAUAAAAUUGAAAAUAAGAGAAACACAGAUGAAUAGGGUAGUUUAGAAAGAUAUGUAUUGAACAUCAAAAUUAAUUAAAUAUAUACUUAUAUCCUUAAGAACAUAAAAUGUCAUCUUCUAUAUUCUGAUAAUUAAACAAUUAACAUAAGUUAUACUGAUUAAAAAAAUGCUAAAAUACUAAUUAUAAGUAGAUAAUGAAAAAGAAAAAAAGAAAAUAGAAUAAUAACAACAAAUUUAAAAUAAGACCGUAUGGUAUAAAGGAAACCAACUCAAUCCGUUUUCCAGUGUUACACUAGCACCACGUUUAUUAUUGUGAGAUCCUCAUAAUCCUAACAAAAAUCUUAAUCUCAUCAAAACAAUACGAAAAACCCUAUCAUAAUCAUUGGUGAUGCAAGAAUAAAAUUGAAAAUAACAGGAAACACAAAUGAAUAGAGUUAAAAAAUAAACAAGUUAGAGAUGUCUAACCUUCAAAAGAUUAACCUAUAUCAGACAUCACUUGGUCCAUACAUUUGAUAGAUAAGAAAGAAAAUUACUCAUAAAAGAUAGAAAAAAAAGGAAAAUAUGACAAUUUUUCAGCAGUACGUAUUUUUUUAACCUUUGUAUUUUGUUUAUACAAUCAUAAACUGAUUAUGAACCAGAGAUUUCUAUUAUGUAAUGUAAGCUAAAUAUUUGGAUUAAGUACAUCCUCAAUUAUAUAAAUCAAUCAAACAUGUAAUGAGUAACAAACAUUGACAUUAAGUAGUAUAGAAAGGUAUGUAUUGAACAUCAAAAUCAAUUAAAUAUAUACUUAUAUCCUUAAGAACAUAAAAUGUCAUCUUCUAUAUUCUGAUAAUUAAACAAUUAACAUAAGUUAUAAAAUUAAAAAUAUGCUAAAAUACUAAUUAUAAGUAGAAAAUGAAAAAGAAAAAAGAAAAAAGAAUAAUUACAAGAAAAUGAAAAAGAAAAAAAGAAAAAAGAAUAAUUACAAGAAAAUGAAAAUGAGACUGGAUUUAUUAAAGGAAACCAACUCAAUCAUUUUUCUAGUGUUAUAUUAGCACCACCUGUAUUAUUGUGAGAUCCUCAUAAUCCUAACAAACAUCUCAAUCUCAUCAAAACAAUACGAAAAGCCCUAUCAUAAUCAUUGGUGACGCAAGAAUAAAAUUGAAAAUAAGAGGAAACACAAAUGAAUAGGGUGACAAAAUAAAAAAGGUAGAGAUGUGUAACCUUCAAAAGAUCAACCUAUAUCAGAAUUCACUUGAUCUGUAUAUUUGAUAGAUAAGAAUGAAAAUUACUCAUAAAUGAUAGAAAAAAAAAUAAAAUAUGACAAUUUUUCAGCAAUACGUAUUUUUUUACCCUUUGUAUUUUGUUUAUACAAUCAUCAAGUGAAUAUGAACCAGAGAUUUCUAUUAAAUAAUGUAAGCUAAAUUUUCUUCAUUAAGUACAUCCCCAAUUAUAUAAAUCAAUCAAACAUGUAAUGAGUAAAAAACAUUGACAUUAAAUAGUUUAGAAAGAUAUGUAUUGAUCAUCAAAAUUAAUUAAAUAUAUACUUAUAUCCUUAAGAACAUAAAAUGUAAUCUUCUCUAUUCUGAUAAUAAUUAUAAGUAGAAAAUGGAAAAGAAAAAAGAAAAAAGUAUAAUUACAAGAAAAUGAAAAAGAUAAAAAGAAAAAAUAGAAUAAUUACAAGAAAAUGAAAAUGAGACUGUAUGUAUUAAAAAAAACCAACUCAAUCAUUUUUCCAGUGUUACAAUAGCACCACCUGUAUUAUUGUAAGAUCCUCAUAAUCCUAACAAACAUCUCAAUCUCAUCAAAACAAUACGAAAAACCCUAUCAUAAUCAUUGGUGACGCAAGAAUAAAAUUGGAAAUAAGAGGAAACACAGAUGAAUAGGGUGACAAAAUAAAAAGGGUAGAGAUGUGUAAUUGGAAAUAAGAGGAAACACAGAUGAAUAGGGUGACAAAAUAAAAAGGGUAGAGAUGUGUAACCUUCAAAAGAUCAACCUAUAUCAGAAAUCACUUGAUCCAAACAUUUGAUAGAUGAGAAUGAAAGCUACUCAUAAAAGAUAGAAAAAAAAAAGAAAAUAUGACAAUUAUCCAGCAGUACAUAUUUUUUUUGUUUAUACAAUCAUAAAGUGAAUAUGAACCAAAGAUUUCCAUUAAAUAAUGUAAGCUAAAUAUUUUCAUUAAGUACAUCCCCAAUUAUAUAAAUCAGUCAAACAUGUAAUGAGUAAAAACAUUGACAUUAAAUAGUUUAGAAAGAUAUGUAUUGAACAUCAAAAUUAAUUAAAUAUAUACUUGUAUCCUUAAGAACAUAAAAUGUCAUCUUUUAUAUUCUGAUAAUUAAACAAUUACCAUAAGUUAUACUGAUUAAAAAUAAUGCUAACAUACUAAUUAUAAGUAGAAAAUGAAAAAGAAAAAAAGAAAAUAGAAUAAUAACAACAAAUUUAAAAUGUAAUGAGUAACAAACAUUGACCUUAAUUAGUUUAGGAAGAUAUGUAUUGAACAUCAAAAUUAAUUAAAUAUAUACUUAUAUCCUUAAGAACAUAAAAUGUCAUCUUCUAUAUUCUGAUAAUUAAACAAUUAACAUAAGUUAUAAUGAUUAAAAAAUAAGCUAAAAUACCAAUUAUAAGUAGAAAAUGAAAAAGAAAAAAAGAAAAUAGAAUAAUUACAAGAAAAUGAAAAAGAAAAAAAAACAAAAUAGAAUAACUACAAGAAAUUUAAAAUGAGACCGUAUGGUAUAAAGGAAACCAACUCAAUCAGUUUUCCAGUGUUACACUAGCACCACGUUUAUUAUUGUGAGAUCCUCAUAAUCCUAACAAAAAUCUCAAUCUCAUCAAAACAAUACGAAAAACCCUAUCAUAAUCAUUGGUGAUGCAAGAAUAAAAUUGAAAAUAAUAGGAAACACAAAUGAAUAGAGUGACAAAAUAAACAAGUUAGAGAUAUGUAACCUUCAAAAUAUUAACCUAUAUCAGAAAUCACUUGAUCCGUACAUUUCAUAGAUAAGAAAGAAAAUUACUCAUAAAAGAUAGAAAAAAAAGGAAAAUAUGACAAUUUUACAGCAGUACGUAUUUUUUUACCCUUUGUAUUUUGUUUAUACAAUCAUAAAGUGAUUAUGAACUAGAGAUUUUUAUUAAUUAAUGUAAGCUAAAUAUUUCUAUUAAGUACAUCCUCAAUGAUAUAAAUCAAUAAAACAUGUAAUGAGUAACAAACAUUAGCAUUAAAUAGUUUAGAAAGAUAUGUAUUGAACAUAAAAAUUAAAUAAAUAUAUACUUAUAUCCUUAAGAACAUAAAAUGUCAUCUUCUAUAUUCUGAUAAUGAAACAAUUAACAUAAGUUAUACAGAUUAAAAAAUAUGCUAAAAUACUAAUUAUAAGUAGAAAAUGAAAAAGAAAAAAAGAAAAUAGAAUAAUUACAAGAAAAUGAAGAAGAAAAAAAGAAAAUAGAAUAAUUACAAGAAAAUGAAGAAGAAAAAAAGAAAAUAGAAAAAUUACAAGAAAAUGAAAAUGAGACAGUAUGUAUUAAAGGAAACCAACUCAAUCAUUUUUCCAAUGUUACAUUAGCACCAUCUGUAUUAUUAUGAGAUCCUCACAAUCCUAGCGAACAUCUCAAUCUCAUCAAAACAAUACGAAAAACCCUAUCAUAAUCAUUGGUGACGCAAGAAUAAAAUUGAAAAUAAGAGGAAACACAUAUGAAUAGGGUGACAAAAUAAAAAAGGUAGAGAUGUGUAACGUUCAAAAGAUCAACCUAUAUCAGAAAUCACUUGUUCUGUACAUUUGAUAGAUCAGAAUGAAAAUUACUCAUAAAAGAUAGAAAAAGAAAAGAAAAUAUGACAAUUUUACAGCAGUACGUAUUUUUUUACCCUUUGUAUUUUGUUUAUACAAUCAUAAAGUGAAUACGAACCAGAGAUUUCUAUUAAAUAAUGUAAGCUAAAUAUUUUCAUUAAGUACAUCCCCAAUUAUAUAAAUCAAUAAAACAUGUAAUGAGUAAAAAACAUUGGCAUUAAAUAGUUUAGAAAGAUAUGUAUUGAACAUCAAAAUUAAUUAAAUAUAUAGUUAUAUCCUUAAGAACAUAAAAUGUCAUCUUCUAUAUUCUGAUAAUUAAAAAAUUAACAUCAGUUAUACAGAUUAAAAAAUAUGCUAAAAUACUAAUUAUAAGUAGAAAAUGAAAAAGAAAAAAAGAAAAAAGAAUAAUUACAAGAAAAUGAAAAUCUAAAAAAGGAAAUAGUAUAAUUACAAGAAAAUGAAAAUGAGACCGUAUGGUAUAAAGGAAACCAACUCAAUCAGUUUUCCAGUGUUACGCUAGCACCACCUUUAUUAUUUUGAGAUCCUCAUAAUCCUAACAAAUAUCUCAAUCUCAUCAAAACAAUACAAAAA